UGGAAACAGAUGCUAAUACCGGAUAACAACAGAUGAUGCCUAUCAACNGUUUAAAAGAUGGUUCUGCUAUCACUCUUGGAUGGACCUGCGGUGCAUUAGCUAGUUGGUAGGGUAACGGCCUACCAAGGCGAUGAUGCAUAGCCGAGUUGAGAGACUGAUCGGCCACAUUGGGACUGAGACACGGCCCAAACUCCUACGGGAGGCAGCAGUA
rnacentral:rRNA from 1 species